GAAAUACUCCCUCCGUCCGGAAAUACUUGUCGGAGGAAUGGAUGUAUCUAGUCAUACUUUAGUUUUGGAUGCAUCCAUUUUUAUCCAUUUCCGUGACAAGUAUUUCCGGACGGAGGGAGUAUGUU
rfam:Triticum urartu cultivar G1812 contig133086, whole genome shotgun sequence.